GAUGAACGCUGGCGGCGUGCCUAAUACAUGCCAGUCGAGCGAACAGACGAGGAGCUUGCUCCUCUGACGUUAGCGGCGGACGGGUGAGUAACACGUGGAUAACCUACCUAUAAGUCUGGGAUAACUUCGGGAAACCGGAGCUAAUACCGGAUAAUAUAUUGAACCGCAUGGUUCAAUAGUGAAAGACGGUUUUGCUGUCACUUAUAGAUGGAUCCGCGCCGCAUUAGCUAGUUGGUAAGGUAACGGCUUACCAAGGCAACGAUGCGUAGCCGACCUGAGAGGGUGAUCGGCCACACUGGAACUGAGACACGGUCCAGACUCCUACGGGAGGCAGCAGUAGGGAAUCUGCCGCAAUGGGCGAAAGCUUGACGGAGCAACGCCGCGUGAGUGAUGAAGGUCUUCGGAUCGUAAAACUCUGUUAUUAGGGAAGAACAAAUGUGUAAGUAACUAUGCACGUCUUGACGGUACCUAAUCAGAAAGCCACGGCUAACUACGUG
rnacentral:rRNA from 1 species